rnacentral:sRNA from 2 species
AUGGAUCACCCCUCCACUCCGGUUCCUGCGCGCCGCCCUUACCUACCUGCGAAUGCUCGCUACGGCUUGCUAGCC